UACGUAGGGGGCAAGCGUUGUCCGGAUUUAUUGGGCGUAAAGAGCGUGUAGGCGGCUUUACAGGUCCGUUGUGAAAACUCGAGGCUCAACCUCGAGACGCCGGUGGAAACCGUAAGGCUAGAGUCCGGAAGAGGAGAGUGGAAUUCCUGGUGUAGCGGUGAAAUGCGCAGAUAUCAGGAGGAACACCCGUGGCGAAAGCGGGUCUCUGGGCCGAUAUUGACGCUGGAGGAGCGAAAGCGUGGGGAGCGAACAGG
rnacentral:rRNA from 1 species